AUACUCGCCCGUCCAGCGACUGCGACCACUAUAUAAGGUUCGACGAGACCCCUUCCAACGACAUUAAAUUGAAAACACUUUCUACCAACAUUUCUCGCCUAAGGAAUUAUCUUAAAGUUUUUAAUAAUAUGGCCCUGCCGCGGAAGCACUUCAAGAAGGGUUCCACUAAACCCGAGCUGCCCGAAGAUGGCGUCUUCCGUUACUUCUCCAUGGCCUUCUGUCCCUUCAGCCAUAGGGUUAAUCUCCUCCUGGCCGCUAAGCAAAUUCCUCAUCACAAGAUCUACGUAGAUUUGAUUGAGAAGCCGGAAUGGUACAAGGACUACAGUCCACUGGGUAAAGUGCCCGCUCUGCAACUAACUGGAGUUGAGGAUCAACCUACUCUCGUGGAGUCCCUCAUCAUAGCGGAGUACUUGGACCAGCAACAUCCUCAGCCACGUCUCUUUCCGACGGAUUCGCUUCAGAAAGCGCUGGACAAGAUUCUCAUUGAACGCUUUGCUCCUGUGGUCAGUGCCAUUUACCCAGUGCUGACUUGUAGUCCCAAUGCACCGGCAGAUGCUAUCGAAAAGUUUGAGAACUCCUUGGAUGUUUUUGAGGUGGAGCUGGCCAAAAGGGGAACACCCUACUUUUCUGGCCAGACCAUUGGAAUCGUGGACUACAUGAUUUGGCCCUGGUUUGAACGUUUUCCCAGUAUGAAAAUCAAUACGGAGCAAAAGUAUGAGCUGGAUGCCAAACGAUUUGAGAAGCUGCUCAAAUGGCGCGAUUUGGUAGCUCAGGAUGCUGCUGUGCAGAAGACAGCUUUAGACGUCCAGCUGCAUGCCGAUUUCCAAAAGUCCAAGACUAUGGGCAAUCCCCAGUACGAUAUAGCCUUCAAGGGCAAGCUCUAGAAUGCAAACUGGUUAUGCCAAGAUCAAAUCUUCGAAACCGGUUAUGGACUGCCUCAUCCUUGACCAGCAGAUUGUAGUUGGGCUGACCCAAGCUGCGAGUGCGAAGGAACUCCGCUUGAACCUCGGCCUCCAUGUAGAAGGCCAUCACAGCCGGAUCCCGC